rnacentral:rRNA from 1 species
UACAGAGGUCCCGAGCGUUUGUUCGGAUUCACUGGGCGUAAAGGGUGCGUAGGUGGUGAGGAAAGUCGGAUGUGAAAUCUCCAAGCUCAACUUGGAAAUGGCAUUGGAAACUACCUUGCUGGAGGUUUGGAGGGGGGACUGGAAUACUUGGUGUAGCAGUGAAAUGCGUAGAUAUCAAGUGGAACACCAGUGGCGAAGGCGAGUCCCUGGACAACACCUGACACUGAGGCACGAAAGCUAGGGGAGCAAACAGG